rnacentral:rRNA from 1 species
CACGUGAAAUUCCGUCGGAAUCUGGGAGGACCAUCUCCUAAGGCUAAAUACUCUCUAGUGACCGAUAGUGAACCAGUACCGUGAGGGAAAGGUGAAAAGCACCCCGGAAGGGGAGUGAAAUAGAACCUGAAACCGUGUGCUUACAAGUAGUCAGAGCCCGUUAAUGGGUGAUGGCGUGCCUUUUGUAGAAUGAACCGGCGAGUUACGAUUUGAUGCAAGGUUAAGCAGUAAAUGUGGAGCCGUAGCGAAAGCGAGUCUGAAUAGGGCGUUUAGUAUUUGGUCGUAGACCCGAAACCAGGUGAUCUACCCUUGGUCAGGUUGAAGUUCAGGUAACACUGAAUGGAGGACCGAACCGACUUACGUUGAAAAGUGAGCGGAUGAACUGAGGGUAGCGGAGAAAUUCCAAUCGAACCUGGAGAUAGCUGGUUCUCUCCGAAAUAGCUUUAGGGCUAGCCUCAAGUGAUGAUUAUUGGAGGUAGAGCACUGUUUGGACGAGGGGCCCCUCUCGGGUUACCGAAUUCAGACAAACUCCGAAUGCCAAUUAAUUUAACUUGGGAGUCAGAACAUGGGUGAUAAGGUCCGUGUUCGAAAGGGAAACAGCCCAGACCACCAGCUAAGGUCCCAAAAUAUAUGUUAAGUGGAAAAGGAUGUGGCGUUGCCCAGACAACUAGGAUGUUGGCUUAGAAGCAGCCAUCAUUUAAAGAGUGCGUAAUAGCUCACUAGUCGAGUGACACUGCGCCGAAAAUGUACCGGGGCUAAACAUAUUACCGAAGCUGUGGAUUGUCCUUUGGACAAUGGUAGGAGAGCGUUCUAAGGGCGUUGAAGCAUGAUCGUAAGGACAUGUGGAGCGCUUAGAAGUGAGAAUGCCGGUGUGAGUAGCGAAAGACGGGUGAGAAUCCCGUCCACCGAUUGACUAAGGUUUCCAGAGGAAGGCUCGUCCGCUCUGGGUUAGUCGGGUCCUAAGCUGAGGCCGACAGGCGUAGGCGAUGGAUAACAGGUUGAUAUUCCUGUACCACCUAUAAUCGUUUUAAUCGAUGGGGGGACGCAGUAGGAUAGGCGAAGCGUGCGAUUGGAUUGCACGUCUAAGCAGUAAGGCUGAGUAUUAGGCAAAUCCGGUACUCGUUAAGGCUGAGCUGUGAUGGGGAGAAGACAUUGUGUCUUCGAGUCGUUGAUUUCACACUGCCGAGAAAAGCCUCUAGAUAGAAAAUAGGUGCCCGUACCGCAAACCGACACAGGUAGUCAAGAUGAGAAUUCUAAGGUGAGCGAGCGAACUCUCGUUAAGGAACUCGGCAAAAUGACCCCGUAACUUCGGGAGAAGGGGUGCUCUUUAGGGUUAACGCCCAGAAGAGCCGCAGUGAAUAGGCCCAAGCGACUGUUUAUCAAAAACACAGGUCUCUGCUAAACCGUAAGGUGAUGUAUAGGGGCUGACGCCUGCCCGGUGCUGGAAGGUUAAGAGGAGUGGUUAGCUUCUGCGAAGCUACGAAUCGAAGCCCCAGUAAACGGCGGCCGUAACUAUAACGGUCCUAAGGUAGCGAAAUUCCUUGUCGGGUAAGUUCCGACCCGCACGAAAGGCGUAACGAUUUGGGCACUGUCUCAACGAGAGACUCGGUGAAAUCAUAGUACCUGUGAAGAUGCAGGUUACCCGCGACAGGACGGAAAGACCCCGUGGAGCUUUACUGUAGCCUGAUAUUGAAAUUCGGCACAGCUUGUACAGGAUAGGUAGGAGCCUUUGAAACGUGAGCGCUAGCUUACGUGGAGGCGCUGGUGGGAUACUACCCUAGCUGUGUUGGCUUUCUAACCCGCACCACUUAUCGUGGUGGGAGACAGUGUCAGGCGGGCAGUUUGACUGGGGCGGUCGCCUCCUAAAAGGUAACGGAGGCGCUCAAAGGUUCCCUCAGAAUGGUUGGAAAUCAUUCAUAGAGUGUAAAGGCAUAAGGGAGCUUGACUGCGAGACCUACAAGUCGAGCAGGGUCGAAAGACGGACUUAGUGAUCCGGUGGUUCCGCAUGGAAGGGCCAUCGCUCAACGGAUAAAAGCUACCCCGGGGAUAACAGGCUUAUCUCCCCCAAGAGUUCACAUCGACGGGGAGGUUUGGCACCUCGAUGUCGGCUCAUCGCAUCCUGGGGCUGUAGUCGGUCCCAAGGGUUGGGCUGUUCGCCCAUUAAAGCGGUACGCGAGCUGGGUUCAGAACGUCGUGAGACAGUUCGGUCCCUAUCCGUCGUGGGCGUAGGAAAUUUGAGAGGAGCUGUCCUUAGUACGAGAGGACCGGGAUGGACAUACCUCUGGUGUACCAGUUGUCGUGCCAACGGCAUAGCUGGGUAGCUAUGUGUGGACGGGAUAAGUGCUGAAAGCAUCUAAGCAUGAAGCCCCCCUCAAGAUGAGAUUUCCCAACUUCGGUUAUAAGAUCCCUCAAAGAUGAUGAGGUUAAUAGGUUCGAGGUGGAAGCAUGGUGACAUGUGGAGCUGACGAAUACUAAUCGAUCGAAGACUUAAUC